CCUACGGGAGGCAGCAGUGGGGGAUAUUGCACAAUGGGGGGAACCCUGAUGCAGCGACGCCGCGUGGGUGAAGAAGCGCCUCGGCGCGUAAAGCCCUGUCAGCAGGGAAGAAAAUGACGGUACCUGAAGAAGAAGCCCCGGCUAACUACGUGCCAGCAGCCGCGGUAAUACGUAGGGGGCAAGCGUUAUCCGGAUUUACGGGGUGUAAAGGGGGCGCAGACGGCGAUGCAAGCCAGGAGUGAAAGCCCGGGGGCCAACCCCGGGACUGCUCUUGGAACUGCGUGGCUGGAGUGCAGGAGGGGCAGGCGGAAUUCCUGGUGUAGCGGUGAAAUGCGUAGAUAUCAGGAGGAACACCGGUGGCGAAGGCGGCCUGCUGGACUGCAACUGACGUUGAGGCCCGAAAGCGUGGGGAGCAAACAGGAUUAGAUACCCGUGUAGUC
rnacentral:rRNA from 1 species